rnacentral:rRNA from 1 species
GUGCCAGCAGCCGCGGUAAUACAGAGGUCCCAAGCGUUGUUCGGAUUCAUUGGGCGUAAAGGGUGCGUAGGCGGUGCCGCAAGUCAGAUGUGAAAUCUCGGGGCUUAACCCCGAAACUGCAUUUGAUACUGCGGUGCUCGAGGACUGGAGAGGAGACUGGAAUUCACGGUGUAGCAGUGAAAUGCGUAGAUAUCGUGAGGAAGGCCAGUGGCGAAGGCGAGUCUCUGGACAGUUCCUGACGCUGAGGCACGAAGGCCAGGGGAGCAAACGGGAUUAGAUACCCCCGUAGUCC